AGAGGGAUAGCUGGGUCAAAUGGUGAUUCCAUUCCAGGUUUUCCAAGGAAUAUCCAUACUGCUUUCCAUAUUGGCUGCACCAAUUUGCAGUCCUACCAGCAAU
rnacentral:pre_miRNA from 1 species